rnacentral:rRNA from 1 species
UACGAAGGGGGCUAGCGUUGCUCGGAAUCACUGGGCGUAAAGCGCACGUAGGCGGCUUUUUAAGUCAGGGGUGAAAUCCUGGAGCUCAACUCCAGAACUGCCUUUGAUACUGGGAAGCUUGAGUCCGGAAGAGGUGAGUGGAACUCCGAGUGUAGAGGUGAAAUUCGUAGAUAUUCGGAAGAACACCAGUGGCGAAGGCGGCUCACUGGACCGGUAUUGACGCUGAGGUGCGAAAGCGUGGGGAGCAAACAGG